rnacentral:lncRNA from 1 species
UAUGCACGCAGGAAGGACCCACAUUUCUGGAUUUUUUAAAGGAUGAAAGUAAAAGUUUCAUCUAGAGUUAGAUGCAACAGAAUAAGAUUGUAUACCUGUUUUACUGAUAUAUGAGAGAGACUUGAAGAAGGUGACCACUGCAGAGAUUGAAUCAGCAUCCUCAGCAACUUUGAAAGUCUUGUCCUAUUUAAACAGGAGUAUGCAAAUCUCCAAAGGUUUGGUGGUUGCUUUGGUUAAGUGUUCAGAAGGUCUAAGGCUAAUUCUAGUCACAUAGACUUCUGUGAACCUCUUCAGUCAAGACAUCAGUCCAGGGACCUU